rnacentral:lncRNA from 1 species
UGUGCGUGGGCGCGAGUCGGCCUCCCGCGGUCCCGCCGCAGCGUGGCGCGGAGAGGCAGGGGCAUCCAGUGGUUCAAGGUUACAACAAGCUGUGAUCGUGCCACUGCAUUCUACCUGGGGUGACAGAGUGGGACCCUGUGCCACAGAGUGAGACCCUGUCUCAAAAAAAAAAAAAAAAAAAAAAAAAAAAACUAUGUAAAUCCAAGAAAAAAAGAAAACAGCUCCUGUUGCCUUUUGCCUCUCAUCCAGAAAGGUAUCCAUUUGCCUUUCUAAUAUCUCUUCAUCCUGUCAGGCCACAAAUGGAGACGACUCACUUGUAUUGUACCUCUCCACGUUCUGGAAAGUCGAUGGUGGGUUUACUCAGAACUUCAAUCUAUCCAGAACUGAGUUUUGUUUAUGGUGUGUGCCAGACAGUGGAUUAAAUUAAACAGUAGUGCAUAUCACUUGGCUGAAGUGACAGGAAUAAAGAACAGAAUGCAUCCACUCCUCCAGUCUCAUUAAGCUGCCUCUUUCUCCUGAAAUUGGAUUGGGAUUCCAGGACACCUCUCAACCUACAGGAAACACUGGAUCUAA